GUGGGGAAUAUUGGACAAUGGGCGAAAGCCUGAUCCAGCCAUGCCGCGUGUGUGAAGAAGGUCUUCGGAUUGGAAAGCACUUUAAGUUGGGAGGAAGGGUAGUGACCUAAUACGUUGCUACUUUGACGUUACCGACAGAAUAAGCACCGGCUAACUUCGUGCCAGCAGCCGCGGUAAUACGAAGGGUGCAAGCGUUAAUCGGAAUUACUGGGCGUAAAGCGCGCGUAGGUGGUUCAGUAAGUUGGAAGUGAAAUCCCCGGGCUCAAACUGGGAACUGCUUUCAAAACUGCUGAGCUAGAGUACGGUAGAGGGUGGUGGAAUUUCCUGUGUAGCGGUGAAAUGCGUAGAUAUAGGAAGGAACACCAGUGGCGAAGGCGACCACCUGGACUGAUACUGACACUGAGGUGCGAAAGCGUGGGGAGCAAACAGGAUUAGAAACCCCUGUAGUCC
rnacentral:rRNA from 1 species